rnacentral:rRNA from 1 species
UACGAAGGGGGGCUAGCGUUGUUCGGAUUUACUGGGCGUAAAGCGCACGUAGGCGGACUAUUAAGUCAGGGGUGAAAUCCUGGAGCUCAACUCCAGAACUGCCUUUGAUACUGGGGAUCUCGAGUCCGGAAGAGGUGAGUGGAACUCCGAGUGUAGAGGUGAAAUUCGUAGAUAUUCGGAAGAACACCAGUGGCGAAGGCGGCUCACUGGUCCGGUACUGACGCUGAGGUGCGAAAGCGUGGGGAGCAACAGG